rnacentral:rRNA from 1 species
GACGAACGCUGGCGGCGUGCUUAACACAUGCAAGUCGAACGGAAAGGCCCUGCUUGCAGGGUACUCGAGUGGCGAACGGGUGAGUAACACGUGGGAGAUCUGCCCUGCACUUCGGGAUAAGCCUGGGAAACUGGGUCUAAUACCGGAUAGGAGCCAUUUUUAGUGUGAUGGUUGGAAAGUUUUUUCGGUGUAGGAUGAGCUCGCGGCCUAUCAGCUUGUUGGUGGGGUAAUGGCCUACCAAGGCGGCGACGGGUAGCCGGCCUGAGAGGGUGGACGGCCACAUUGGGACUGAGAUACGGCCCAGACUCCUACGGGAGGCAGCAGUGGGGAAUAUUGCACAAUGGGCGCAAGCCUGAUGCAGCGACGCCGCGUGGGGGAUGACGGCCUUCGGGUUGUAAACUCCUUUCGCUAGGGACGAAGCUUUUUGUGACGGUACCUAGAUAAGAAGCACCGGCUAACUACGUGCCAGCAGCCGCGGUAAUACGUAGGGUGCGAGCGUUGUCCGGAAUUACUGGGCGUAAAGGGCUCGUAGGUGGUUUGUCGCGUCGUCUGUGAAAUUCCGGGGCUUAACUCCGGGCGUGCAGGCGAUACGGGCAUAACUUGAGUACUGUAGGGGUAACUGGAAUUCCUGGUGUAGCGGUGAAAUGCGCAGAUAUCAGGAGGAACACCGAUGGCGAAGGCAGGUUACUGGGCAGUUACUGACGCUGAGGAGCGAAAGCAUGGGUAGCGAACAGG